AGUGCCCGCUUGUUUAAUUUUGCGAGUUCAAAGCGUGACCCAAUUCCCAAUAUAUCAAAACUUUUAUUCUAGCCAGCCAAAGAAAACUCUUCGCUCUCUCUCUCAACGGAAGAUCCCAGUCCCUUUCUUCAUCUCUUCCACAGAUUUGGGGCUUUUUGUGUAACCUCAUAUCUCCUUUUGGUGACAAGAGGUGUAACGAAUAGUCUGGGCAAAGGCGUCACGCCAGCAGCAGAAGCGUCGCUCUCAAAUCCAAUGACUUUCAUGUUACCUGCAUCAAAAUCGAUGCUGGUGUCAUAUCUCCUUCUGAACGUGGAUUUGCUUUUGUUCUUGAUGAUGGUGGAGAGACUUUAGCUUCUUAUAUGUCUAUUCAGUGAACCAGAAUUACUUCAAAGUUAGAGAAGGCGUAAUUAUUCAUGUAAUGUAAGGUUGGAACUCAAGGGCAAGCUCAAGAUUGAGUUGGAAUGGUUCAGGAGUUGAAAAGUGAAUAGUUCUUUCAAGAGUUUCUUAUUAGUUGCAAUUGCUUGAAGAACUCAAUUAGCAGUUUCAAUGGCUGUGAGAAGUAUAACAAACAAUGUGGACAACCAUUGUAUUAGAAAACCAUUAUGUGUGUUCAAGAAAUUAUCAACUUGUGUGCUAACUUGGUCCUCAAGUGAUCCAGAUCAGCUUGUUCAUUUUGUUCCCUUGGGCCCUAAUGCUAUGAGAGUUUGGGUAGAUACACCGAAAGUCCCAACUGCAUCCCUUUGGAGGCCAUCGUCUGAGCUGGAAAUUAUUGAAGAUGCUAUUGGUACUAUAGUAGCAUGGCCAGCAGACAAAGUAGUUAUGUUUUAGGGCUCCGUUCAGAGAUGCUAAGAGAGCUAUAUAUGAAGGUUAGAAGCUAGUAAUGGACUGAUGUGGUCAUGAAUGCUAGGAGCUGCGCACAAGUACUUUUUGAUUGAGACAUUGUAGUACUUGUUUAUCUUUUCCUUGGAUUCUUGUUUAUCUUUUCCUUGGAUUAAUUAUGCAAACUGAUCGACUGCUAGCUUUUGAGACAAUUUUAUUGAAUUGUAUUUGAAAUUCAUAUAUGAAGUUUGAGUAUUGAUGAGACG